rnacentral:lncRNA from 1 species
CGAACCGUAGCUAGGGAACCCAGUUGGGCAGCCCGCUUUUGUUCUUCAUUGUUCUUCAUCCUUCGAUUUCCAUUUGAUUGUUGUAACUUGUUGUUUGUGCUUAGAAGCAUGCUAGGAUUGUUGUGCUUUAAAUUCAUAGUCUUCCAAGCAUGAAAAUAGCAUGUUUUUAUGAAGAUCUUGGCUGCCAAAGUUUGAAGUUCAAGACUGCCGAUUUUUUUUUAAUUUUUAUGAAAGUUUGAGGUUGAAGAUGAUGCAUGUUGAGGGUUUUGAUGUGUUUGUGUUCUAGGAUGGUUGAUGAGCAUGAUGAAGUUUUGAAGUGUAAAUGUUAGAGUUUGCAUGAACUUAAGGCUGAUUUUGAAGUGUAAAUGUUAGAGUUUGCAUGAACUUAAGGCUGAUGUUCGUGUUCAGUUUCUGGAGUCAUGCAUUGCAUCAUGUUUUAAUUGGUUUUUAUAAUUUCAAUUACAAGAGAAAAACGAGU